rnacentral:rRNA from 1 species
GAGUUUGGUGAUGGCUCUGAUUGAAUGCUGUUCAAGUGCUUGACACAUGCUAAUCGAACGUUUUAACUAAUUAGUGAAAAGUUAAAAAGUGGUGUACAGGUGAGUAUAUGGAUAUUAUCAGCCGACCUUAAAGUGGAGAGAAAUCCUUCAUAAAAAAUAAAGAGUUGUUGGGACUCGCUUUAAGAGGAUUAUAGUAUCUUCGGGAUAGGUAGUAGUUAAGGUGAUGGCUUAACUAGCUUAAGUUCUCGUAGUCGAUUCUGAGAGGUUUAUCGGCCACAUUGGGUCUGAAAAAACCCCAAUGCAUAUUAGUACAGCAGUGAGGUAUAUUGGUCAAUGGCCUAACGGCUGAACUGGCAACUUGGGAGAGUGGCAAGCCCUAUUUUGAGCAUAUCUUAGAAUAUGAUCUAUAGGGUUGUAUUAAAAUUGAAUAAAGCUCUGUGUAUAUAUUGAUAAUGACAGUAUAUAUAUUAUGGUCUUGACCAAUUGCGUGCCAGCAGUCGCGGUAAUACGUAAGAGACUAGUGUUAUUCAUCUUAAAUAGGUUUAAAGGGUACCUAGGCGGUCAGGAAAAAAGUAAUAACUUGACUAGAGUUUUAUAGAGGAGGGGAGCACCUAGGGAAGAGGGAUGAAAUCUGCAGAUACUCUGGGGACUCUGUAAAAGCGAAGGCACCCCUCCAGGUAUAAACUGACGUUGAGGGACGAAGGCAAAGGUAAUGAAUAGGAUUAGAGACCCUAGUAGUCUUUGCAGUAAAUGAUGAGUGCCAUAGAUUAGAUUGAGUUAUAAAAAAACGGGUCCUUCAGUAGGAAGUUUUAAUUAAGCAUAUUUGGUCUAUAAAUGAAAGUGUAAGCAUUCCACCUCAAGAGUAAUGUGGCAACGCAGGAACUGAAAUCACUAGACCGUUUCUGACACCAGUAGUGAAGUAUGUUGUUUAAUUCGAUAACCCCCGAAGAAUCUUACCACAGUUUGUAUAAUUUACAGGUGUUGCACGGCUGUUUCCAGUUAAUGUUGUGAAGCUGUGGUUUCCAUGAAAAUAACGAAAUCCCUGGCUUUAUUUAAAAAAUAAAACUAUAAAGCAUAAGAUCCCGGAUAUUGGGGUAGAGAAAGGGGACAAAGACAAGUCAUCAUGGCCCUAAUGCUGUGGGCUAUAGACGUGCUGCAUAUGCCUUGACAAAGAGAUGCAAAAAUGUGAAUUAAAGCUAAUCUUGAAAAAAGGAUAUAAGUGGAUUGUAGUCUGAAAUUCGACUAUAUGAAUUCGUAAUUACUAGUAAUCGUGAAUCACUAUGUCACGGUGAAUGAACCUCGGAUUGGUACUAACCACUCGUCGCAUGCUGAAAGGAGUUUAUGCAAUAAGUUUGCAUUCUU